UACGAAGGGGGCUAGCGCUGCUCGGAAGCACUGGGCGUAAAGGGGGCGUAGGCGGGUCUUUAAGUCAGGGGGGAAAUCCUGGAGCUCAACCCCAGAACUGCCUUUGAUACUGAGGAUCUUGAGUUCGGGAGAGGUGAGUGGAACUGCGAGUGUAGAGGUGAAAUUCGUAGAUAUUCGCAAGAACACCAGUGGCGAAGGCGGCUCACUGGCCCGAUACUGACGCUGAGGCACGAAAGCGUGGGGAGCAAACAGG
rnacentral:rRNA from 1 species